rnacentral:rRNA from 1 species
AUACGGAGGAUGCAAGCGUUAUCCGGAUUUAUUGGGUUUAAAGGGUGCGUAGGCGGAUGAUUAAGCGUGAGGUGAAAUGCCACUGCUCAACAGUGGAACUGCCUCGCGAACUGGUUGUCUUGAAUGCUCCUGCCGUGGGAGGAAUGUGUGGUGUAGCGGUGAAAUGCAUAGAGAUCACACAGAACACCGAUUGCGAAGGCAUCUCACGAAGGGGUGAUUGACGCUGAGGCACGAAAGCGUGGGGAUCAAACAGGAUUAGAUACCCUGGUAGUCCACGCAGUAAACGAUGAUAACUAACCGCUGGGUCGUAGUGAUUCAGUGGCCAAGCGAAAGCGAUAAGUUAUCCACCUGGGGAGUACGACCGCAAGGUUGAAACUCAAAUGAAUUGGCGGG